rnacentral:tRNA from 1 species
GGAGAGGCAACCCGAUAGGUGACGGGGGCUCCCUGCUAAGGAGUUGAGGUGUAAAAGCCCUUGCGAGUUCGACUCUCGUCCUCUCCGC